CCUACGGGUGGCAGCAGUGAGGAAUAUUGGUCAAUGGGCGGGAGCCUGAACCAGCCAAGUCGCGUGAGGGAAGAAGGUACUGAGUAUUGUAAACCUCUUUUGCCAGGGGACAAAGGCGGCCACGGGUGGCCGUAAGAGGGUACCUGGAGAAAAAGCAUCGGCUAACUCCGUGCCAGCAGCCGCGGUAAUACGGAGGAUGCGAGCGUUAUCCGGAUUUAUUGGGUUUAAAGGGUGCGUAGGCGGAUUUUUAAGUCAGCGGUAAAAUGUCCGGGCUCAACCCGGGCCGGCCGUUGAAACUGGGGAUCUUGAGUGGGCGAGAAGUAUGCGGAAUGCGUGGUGUAGCGGUGAAAUGCAUAGAUAUCACGCAGAACUCCGAUUGCGAAGGCAGCAUACCGGCGCCCGACUGACGCUGAGGCACGAAAGCGUGGGGAUCGAACAGGAUUAGAUACCCUAGUAGUC
rnacentral:rRNA from 1 species